AGCAGCAGCCGCGGGAAUACGUAGGUCCCGAGCGUUGUCCGGAUUUAUUGGGCGUAAAGCGAGCGCAGGCGGUUAGAUAAGUCUGAAGUUAAAGGCUGUGGCUUAACCAUAGUACGCUUUGGGAACUGUUUAACUUGAGUGCAAGAGGGGAGAGUGGAAUUCCAUGUGUAGCGGUGAAAUGCGUAGAUAUAUGGAGGAACACCGGUGGCGAAAGCGGCUCUCUGGUCUGUAACUGACGCUGAGGCUCGAAAGCGUGGGGAGCAAACAGGAUUAGAUACCCCCGUAGUCCCUGUCUCUUAUACA
rnacentral:rRNA from 1 species